rnacentral:rRNA from 1 species
GUAGCUUGCUACUUAACCUAGCGGCGGACGGGUGAGUAAUGCUUAGGAAUCUGCCUAUUAGUGGGGGACAACAUCUCGAAAGGGAUGCUAAUACCGCAUACGUCCUACGGGAGAAAGCAGGGGACCUUCGGGCCUUGCGCUAAUAGAUGAGCCUAAGUCGGAUUAGCUAGUUGGUGGGGUAAAGGCCUACCAAGGCGACGAUCUGUAGCGGGUCUGAGAGGAUGAUCCGCCACACUGGGACUGAGACACGGCCCAGACUCCUACGGGAGGCAGCAGUGGGGAAUAUUGGACAAUGGGGGGAACCCUGAUCCAGCCAUGCCGCGUGUGUGAAGAAGGCCUUUUGGUUGUAAAGCACUUUAAGCGAGGAGGAGGCUACCGAGAUUAAUACUCUUGGAUAGUGGACGUUACUCGCAGAAUAAGCACCGGCUAACUCUGUGCCAGCAGCCGCGGUAAUACAGAGGGUGCAAGCGUUAAUCGGAUUUACUGGGCGUAAAGCGCGCGUAGGUGGCCAAUUAAGUCAAAUGUGAAAUCCCCGAGCUUAACUUGCGAAUUGCAUUCGAUA